UACGAGGGGAGCAAGCGUUGUUCGGAUUUACUGGGCGUAAAGGGCGCGUAGGCGGCCACGACAAGUCACUUGUGAAAUCUCCGGGCUUAACUCGGAAAGGUCAAGUGAUACUGUCGGGCUAGAGUACAGAAGGGGCAACUGGAAUUCUCGGUGUAGCGGUGAAAAUGCGUAGAUAUCGAGAGGAACACCUGCGGCGAAGGCGGGUUGCUGGGCUGAUACUGACGCUGAGGCACGAAAGUGUGGGGAGUCAAACAGG
rnacentral:rRNA from 1 species